UCAACGUUGACUUGUAUUGUGAAGGACCCUCGGGUCUAUUGCAUUACGGUCAUGGUGGCGAAUAGGAGCCGAUUGUCCUUUGUAACAGAAGGCUUGAGGUUUAUCCUCUUCCACAACGUUGUACAUCAAACGGUUUCUCCUAACUGCUCUUGUUAGAUGUUGAUUCCUUCGCUGCAUAUUCCAUGACCUUCUCUGAGUUGCUAUGCGACUUUGAUUGAGGAGACAAACCAUGCAGUGUACAUUU